rnacentral:rRNA from 1 species
AUUGAACGCUGGCGGCAGGCCUAACACAUGCAAGUCGAACGAGUGGCGGACGGGUGAGUAAUGUCUGGGAAACUGCCUGCUGGAGGGGGAUAACUACUGGAAACGGUAGCUAAUACCGCAUACCAUCAGAUGUGCCCAGAUGGGAUUAGUUAGUGGGGGGGGUAACGGCUCACCAAGGCGACGAUCCCUAGCUGGUCUGCAAGGAUGACCAGCCACACUGUAACGAAGACACGGUCCAUACGCCGACGGGAGACAGCAGUGGGGAAUAUUGCACAAGGGGCGCAAGCCUGAUGCAGCCAUGCCGCGUGUAUGAAGAAGGCCAUCGAGUUGUAAAGUACUUUCAGCGGGGAGGCGUUACCCGCAGAAGAAGCACCGGCUAACUCCGUGCCAGCAGCCGCGGUAAUUC